CCCACCCCCUGCCCACGUCACUGUGUCGGUGAGACCGGUGGAGGAGAAAGGAGCGAGAGGGAGAAAGGAAGGCAAGGUAAUGAGCGACCUUCAGGGGAAGGAGUUCAGAAAGAGGCACCAGAGGAAGAGACACACGAUAGGCAGGUCUGCCCUCCUCAGCUCAGAGGAGCAAGGGACCAUCAACAGGGUCACUCCUGGCCAUCCUGAAGCAUUCCCGCUGUGCCCCAAGGCCACCAACAGCGCCUCAGUUAACAGCCUGGGCUCCUCAUUUCCAGAAGUUUUAGAUUAAUCAAAGGAAUUAAAUCAGACUCACCUCGGGCAUGACCUUGCACGAAGCCUGGCUUGACCAGAGCUUUGGGAGCAGAACACCUCUGGGUGCAAACCCCGCCUCUGCACAGUGGCUGUCCUGGACUAGAGACUCAGUACCUAGUUGCUGAGUGAGUUUGGACUAGCUACUUACACGCGGUAAGCCUCAGUUUCCCCAUCUGUAAAGUGGGAUUGGUAACACCCGCGUCUGGGGCUGUGGUAAGGGUCUCGGGGCCUAGUGGCCAGGGAGGGCUUGACAAACAAGCUGACAUUCAUGGCCGUGACUCACAUCCUUCGCCAUCACCGCCCCCCACCAUCAGUCCGCGGGGCUGGCUUGUGGGUCUCCACACCCUGGUCCCCACCCGGACUGUAACAUCCUUGGGGCCAGGGAUUCUGUCUCUGUUAUUUUUGUCUUAUUCAUGCCCCUGUCUCCGCCCAAGCCCGGCCCACCCUGACACCCAGCCACUGUCAGCUGAGGGAAUGGCCUGGCUCCUGGACGGGGACACAGGCUGGGGACGCACCUGAUUGCCGCGGGCGACCCCGUAGCGCAACUCGUUCACAAAGUGCUCGCAGUUCUCACAGGGCAGCGAGUAGGGCAGCUCCUGGCCCACCAGCUGCUCCGCCCGCUGGACGAUUUUGCUGGGAGGCAGCGGCGAGUACUUGUCAUCGUGUUUGUUAUUGACCUGGUACCUGUCUCUCCCGACCACGUCAUUCCAGCAGCAGCUUCUCCGUCACGGCCUUCUCAGUCAGGGUGGACGUGGUGCGGCCACACCAGCUCCCACAAUUUCACCCGAGAUUCACAAAGAGGAGACGGUGACUUCAGCCCUGGGCUCAGAGCCGGCCCCAAGCAGGCAGCCCCGUUGCCCUCGGCCUCAUCGAACCACAGACGCAUAGGGGAUUGGACCUGGGGAGUGACGUCCCUCAAGUACAACGGGGUGGGUGGAAGUGAACCCCAUCAUCUAAUGGAAAAAAGGUGCACGGUGUCUCCAUGAACCUCCUGCUAAGGAGGAAUCACAGUCGACGUACAGAGCAGGGAAGAACACGCAGCAAAUUGUCACAGAGGGCCUCUUAAUGCCAGACACUCGCGAACACCCCCAUACACGCACGACUGUUCACACCUCACCCCUGGUGCUUAAACAGAGAAACUGUCCUGGGGCACCUGGGUGGCUCGGUCGGUGAGGCGUCCGACUUCGGCUCAGGUCACGAUCUCACGGUUCGUGGGUUCGAGCCCCGAGUCGGGCUCUGUGCGGACAGCUGGGAGCCUGGA